rnacentral:rRNA from 1 species
ACAUCUGGUGAUGAUGUUCUUUAGGGUAACACCCGUUCCCAUUCCGAACACGACGGUUAAGCCUUUAGAAGCCGAUGGUACUGCACG